UCGAGGGGUAUAGUAGCAAUACUUAGAGACCGGCGCACGGGUGAGUAACGCGUAUGCAACCUGCCCUUUACUGGAGGAUAGCCCGUAGAAAUGCGGAUUAAUACCCCAUAGUAAUGUUGGAUCGCAUGAUCUGGCAUUUAAAGUUUCGGCGGUAAAGGAUGGGCAUGCGUGACAUUAGCUAGUUGGAGAGGUAACGGCUCACCAAGGCUUCGAUGUCUAGGGGUUCUGAGAGGAAGAUCCCCCACACUGGUACUGAGACACGGACCAGACUCCUACGGGAGGCAGCAGUGAGGAAUAUUGGUCAAUGGGCGAGAGCCUGAACCAGCCAUCCCGCGUGCAGGAAGAAUGCCCUAUGGGUUGUAAACUGCUUUUUCGCAUGAAGAACACCCCUGACGUGUCAGGGGCUGACGGUAAUGCGUGAAUAAGCACCGGCUAACUCCGUGCCAGCAGCCGCGGUAAUACGGAGGGUGCAAGCGUUAUCCGGAUUUAUUGGGUUUAAAGGGUGCGUAGGCGGCUAUUUAAGUCAGUGGUGAAAUCCUGCAGCUUAACUGUAGAACAGCCAUUGAAACUGAAUAGCUUGAGUGAUCUUGAGGUAGGCGGAAUGUGUAGUGUAGCGGUGAAAUGCUUAGAUAUUACACAGAACACCGAUUGCGAAGGCAGCUUACUAAGGAUUUACUGACGCUGAUGCACGAAAGCGUGGGGAUCAAACAGGAUUAGAUACCCUGGUAGUCCACGCCGUAAACGAUGAUAACUCGCUGUUGGCGAUACACAGUCAGCGGCUUAGCGAAAGCGUUAAGUUAUCCACCUGGGGAGUACGCUCG
rnacentral:rRNA from 1 species